rnacentral:rRNA from 1 species
UAGAGUUUGAUCCUGGCUCAGAUUGAACGCUGGCGGAAUGCUUUACACAUGCAAGUCGGGCGGCAGCGCGGGGGCAACCCUGGCGGCGAGCGGCGAACGGGUGAGUAAUACAUCGGAACGUACCCAGUUGUGGGGGAUAGCCCGGCGAAAGCCGGAUUAAUACCGCAUACGACCUGAGGGUGAAAGUGGGGGACCGCAAGGCCUCACGCAAUUGGAGCGGCCGAUGGCGGAUUAGCUAGUUGGUGGGGUAAAGGCCUACCAAGGCGACGAUCCGUAGCUGGUCUGAGAGGAUGAUCAGCCACACUGGAACUGAGACACGGUCCAGACUCCUACGGGAGGCAGCAGUGGGGAAUUUUGGACAAUGGGCGCAAGCCUGAUCCAGCCAUUCCGCGUGAGUGAAGAAGGCCUUCGGGUUGUAAAGCUCUUUCGGCAGGGACGAAACGGUGGAGGCGAAUACCCUCUGCUAAUGACGGUACCUGAAGAAGAAGCACCGGCUAACUACGUGCCAGCCGCCGCGGUAAUA